CAAGGAAUUUUCCGCAAUGGGCGAAAGCCUGACGGAGCAACGCCGCGUGAGGGAUGACGCCUUUCGGGGUGUAAACCUCUUUUCUGUGGGAUGAAGAAUGACAGUACCACAGGAAGAAGGACCGGCUAACUACGUGCCAGCAGCCGCGGUAAUACGUAGGGUCCAAGCGUUGUCCGGAGUUACUGGGCGUAAAGCGCGCGCAGGUGGCCGUUCAAGCCUGACGUGAAAGCCCCCGGCUCAACCGGGGAGGGUCGUCGGGGACUGAGCGGCUUGAGGACGGUAGGGGCCGGUGGAAUUCCCGGUGUAGUGGUGAAAUGCGUAGAGAUCGGGAGGAACACCAGUAGCGAAGGCGGCCGGCUGGGCCGAUCCUGACACUGAGGCGCGAAGGCGUGGGGAGCGAACGGGAUUAGAUACCCCCGUAGUCC
rnacentral:rRNA from 1 species